rnacentral:lncRNA from 1 species
NNNNNNNNCCGAUGGCGUGCCCUGGGCCGGGCAGCGAGGCCGGGCUCGAGUCCCCGCGCGGCCCCGGCCUGACCCGAGCCCGCAGAAGCGCAGCCCGAGCCCGGCGGUCCGAGGACCUGGCUGCGGGGCUGUCCAGGCGUCCCGGAGGGCUCUUCUCCCAGCACCUGGCGGCUCUGAUGGACGGAGGGGGCCAGCCGGACGGUCGGGGACCCGGGAUCCGGGCGCAGCAGCCCACCUCCUGUUCUAGGCUUCCCGGCUCGGUGCAGUCCGAGGCUGUGGAGGGCAGAAUUCCUGCAGGAUUUAUUUUUGCCACUUCCUCUAGGAGCUAGAAGUUGGCCAAGUGUUGAAUUGUGUGCCUCUCGGGCAUGCACCGCUGAACAAAACUUGUUGGCGCCUAUGAAACAAUGCCGCCUCCAACGCCUGGAGUGACGGGGACGCAGCCGAGCGGCCUUCCUCAGCACCGUCCCCUCCUCUGCGGGCUCUGAAUUCGAGUGCCCCCACCUGCCAGACCCGCUUAAGCGAGUUAUGUCCCUGUGCUGCCCUGUUUCUGGCUGGGAGACACAGGAGAUGCGAGCCGUUCCUCACAGAGCCAGUAUUCGCCCCUCCUGGAAUGUGGUCAGGGCACCAGACGGGACCCAGCGAUGAGUGGGCAGAUGGACAGAUGUCUGCAAAUCCACCAGGGAUGGAAACAAGCCACGGACUCCAUGCCGGAUGGGUCCAUACUGGCCUACACAUCCCAAAUAAUCCCAUCCAUGCACAGAACGUCCACAUAAGACAGGAUGAAGAAGGAUUGUCCCCAGGCAGCUCUGCCAUCAGCUCUGCAAACACCCCUGGAGCUAGAAAAAAAUGCAAGGUUCCAGCAAUUUUCCUAGGCAGUUCAGAGAGAAGAUUCAAAAAAAGGAAGCUUACAUUACUAUCACAUGAAAUAUGUGGUCAAAACAACCAGAGUAAUAGCUUGAGGAAGAAAAACAAAACUUCAAGGAAGAAAAUACAAGUGAAGAGAAAAAAUGCAGCCCUGCUGUCGUUUAAGAGCACUGCUGUGGAUUGA